AGCAGCCACGGUAAUUCCAGCUCCAAUAGCGUAUAUUAAAGUUGCUGCAGUUAAAAAGCUCGUAGUUGAAUUUCGGGAUCAAUAUGUUGGUCGUGCCUCGGUACGUACUAGCUUAUUGGUUUCUCCCUUCUGACGAACCAUGAUGUCAUUUAUUUGGUGUUAUGGGAAAUCAGGACUGUUACUUUGAAAAAAUUAGAGUGUUUAAAGCAGGCUCACGCUUGAAUACAUUAGCAUGGAAUAAUGAAAUAGGACGUUUGAUUCUAUUUUGUUGGUUUCUAGGAUCGACGUAAUGAUUAAUAGGGAUAGUUGGGGGGCAUUAGUAUUCAAUUGUCAGAGGUGAAAUUCUUGGAUUUAUUGAAGACUAACUACUGCGAAAGCAUUUGCCAAGGAUGU
rnacentral:rRNA from 1 species